rnacentral:rRNA from 1 species
UAGGGAAUCUUCCACAAUGGGCGUAAGCCUGAUGGAGCAACACCGCGUGAGUGAAGAAGGGUUUCGGCUCGUAAAGCUCUGUUGUUAAAGAAGAACACGUAUGAGAGUAACUGUUCAUACGUUGACGGUAUUUAACCAGAAAGUCACGGCUAACUACGUGCUAG